rnacentral:rRNA from 1 species
CAGCAGCCGCGGUAAUACGAAGGGGGCUAGCGUUGUUCGGAUUUACUGGGCGUAAAGGGCGCGUAGGCGGGCGAUUAAAUCAGGGGUGAAAUCCCAAGGCUCAACCGGGGAGGGUCAUUGGAAACUGGGAAACUUGAGUGCAGAAGAGGAGAGUGGAAUUCCACGUGUAGCGGUGAAAUGCAUAGAGAUGUGGAGGAACACCAGUGGCGAAGGCGACUCUCUGGUCUGUAACUGACGCUGAGGAGCGAAAGCGUGGGGAGCGAACAGGAUUAGAUACCCCAGUAGUCCCUGUCUCUUAUAC